rnacentral:rRNA from 1 species
UACGUAGGGAGCAAGCGUUGUUCGGAUUUACUGGGCGUAAAGGGCGCGUAGGCGGCGUGUUAAGUCAGCUGUGAAAUCUCCAAGCUCAACUUGGAACGGCCAGCUGAUACUGACGUGCUAGAGUGCAGAAGGGGCAAUCGGAAUUCCAGGUGUAGCGGUGAAAUGCGUAGAUAUCUGGAGGAACACCGGUGGCGAAGGCGGCGUUCUGGACUGUAACUGACACUGAGGAACGAAAGCCAGGGGAGCAAACGGG